rnacentral:lncRNA from 1 species
UGGAACCAGCAAAGAAGACAGAAACAACAGCCACAGAGCUAAAAAGGAGAAGCAAGUGAGUCUCCAAAACUAAGUGAAAAAGAUGUGUUUUGAAGAAAAGGGAGUGAGCAACUGUGUUGAGUGCUGAAGACAGGUCAAGUAUAAAGAGGGCUGAGAUUGGACCACUGGAUUUGGCAGCAUGGAGGUACCUGAUGCCACCAAUUCCUGAGUUUUUCUGCUGUUCAGUGGAGUGGACUAUCGCCUUCAAAUUAGCCUGGCCCUGGGCAGGAAAUGAAGACCCUGAAUCAGCCCAUCAGAAGCAGGAGAUCCCUUUCGUCGACCUUCUCAUUCCAUCUCUAUGCUGGAGCAUUCUUGUGACCUAACCAUAUUGAAACUGCCUUUGCAAAAUAUGACUGAGACAGUGA